rnacentral:rRNA from 1 species
GCCAGCAGAAUCUGGCUUCCCAUGAGGCUGCUUCACAAAAACGAAGCUUGGGCUGCACAGCAAUGUGCGGGGUAGGGGAGCGUCGAAUAUGGGGUGAAGUCGCAGCGGAAGCAGCGGUGGACUGUAUUCGAGUGAGAAUGCCGGAAUGAGUAGCGAGAAUUAUGUGGGAAUCAUAAUGGCCGAAAAUCUAAGGUUUCCUGGGGAAGGUUCGUCCGCCCAGGGUAAGCCGGGAGCUAAGGCGAGGCCGAAAGGCGUAGUCGAUGCACAUACGGUUGAAAUUCCGUAGCCACCGAACCUUAAGUACACUGACACAUAGAGAUAGCGGGACCCGGGCGUUGGUUGACCCGGGCGUAAGGGACCGAACUUUAGUAGGGAAGUCCGCGAUGCUCUGUGGCGAGAAAAGGUGUAUGGUAUGCUAAGGUGCCCGUACCGCAAACCGACACAGGUAGAUGAGGAGAGAAUCCUAAGGCCAACGGGAGAAGGGUUGUUAAGGAACUCGGCAAAUUGACCCCGUAACUUCGGAAGAAGGGGAGCCUCGAAAGAGGCCGCAGAGAAUAGGCCCAAGCAACUGUUUACCAAAAACACAGGUCUAUGCUAAAUCGAAAGAUGACGUAUAUGGGCUGACGCCUGCCCGGUGCCGGAAGGUUAAGAGGAGAUGUCAGCGCAAGCGAAGCAUUGAAUUGAAGCCCCGGUAAACGGCGGCCGUAACUAUAACGGUCCUAAGGUAGCGAAAUUCCUUGUCAGGUAAGUUCUGACCCGCACGAAAGGCGUAAUGAUUUGGGCACUGUCUCAACAGCCCGCCCGGCGAAAUUGUAGUACUGGUGAAGAUGCCAGUUACCCGCAACUAGACGGAAAGACCCCAUGGAGCUUUACUGCAGCUUAAUACUGGAAUUCGGUAACCCAUGUACAGGAUAGGUGGGAGGCUUGGAAGCAGGGGCGUCAGCUCUUGUGGAGCCGCCGGUGGGAUACCACUCUUGGAUUGCUGAAUUUCUAACCUGCGGCCGUGAAUCCGGUCGGGGGACACUGUUAGGCGGGCAGUUUGACUGGGGCGGUCGCCUCCUAAAGAGUAACGGAGGCGCUCAAAGGUUGGCUCAGCACGGACGGAAAUCGUGCAGUGAGUGUAAACGUAGAAGCCAGCCUAACUGCGAGACCGACGGGUCGAGCAGUAACGAAAGUUGGAGUUAGUGAUCCGGUGGUAUGUGAGUGGAAAUGCCAUCGCUCAACGGAUA